rnacentral:rRNA from 1 species
CGCGUAAGAAUCUACCUAUAGGUUCGGUACAACAGUUAGAAAUGACUGCUAAUACCGGAUGUGCCUUCGGGUGACAGUCUUAAUGCCUGUAGAUGAGCUUGCGUUCGAUUAGCUAGAUGGUGGGGUAACGGCCUACCAUGGCGACGAUCGAUAACUGGUCUGAUAGGAUGACCAGUCACACUGGGACUGAGACACGGUCCAGACUCCUACGGGAGGCAGCAGUGGGGAAUUUUCCGCAAUGGGCGAAAGCCUGACAGAGCAAUACCGCGUGAGGGACGAAGGUCUGUGGAUUGUAAACCUCUUUUGUUGGGGAAGAUAAUGACGGUACCCAACGAAUAAGCAUCGGCUAACUCCGUGCCAGCAGCCGCGGUAAGACGGAGGAUGCAAGCGUUAUCCGGAAUUAUUGGGCGUAAAGCGUACGUAGGCUGUUUCAUAAGUCUGUUGUCAAAGCGCGAGGCUCAACCUCGUAAAGGCAAUGGAAACUGCGAGACUAGAGAGAGAUAGGGGCAGGAGGAAUUCCAGGUGUAGCGGUGAAAUGCG